rnacentral:rRNA from 1 species
UACGUAGGUGGCAAGCGUUGUCCGGAAUUAUUGGGCGUAAAGCGCGCGCAGGCGGCUUCUUAAGUCUGAUGUGAAAUCUCGGGGCUCAACCCCGAGCGGCCAUUGGAAACUGGGAAGCUUGAGUACAGAAGAGGAGAGUGGAAUUCCACGUGUAGCGGUGAAAUGCGUAGAUAUGUGGAGGAACACCAGUGGCGAAGGCGACUCUCUGGUCUGUAACUGACGUGAGGCGCGAAAGCGUGGGGAGCAAACAGGAU